UACGUAGGGUGCAAGCGUUGUCCGGAAUUAUUGGGCGUAAAGAGCUCGUAGGCGGUCUGUCGCGUCGGCUGUGAAAACCCGGAGCUCAACUCCGGGCCUGCAGUCGAUACGGGCAAACUGGAGUGUUGCAGGGGAGACUGGAAUUCCUGGUGUAGCGGUGAAAUGCGCAGAUAUCAGGAGGAACACCAGUGGCGAAGGCGGCGACCUGGGCCAAUAUUGACGCUGAGGUGCGAAAGCGUGGGGAGCAAACAGG
rnacentral:rRNA from 1 species